AUGGUUAAGUUAGAAAGGGCGCACGGUGGAUGCCUUGGCACUAGGAGCCGAUGAAGGACGGGGCAAACGCCGAAACGCUUCGGGGAGCUGUAAGCAAGCGUUGAUCCGGAGAUGUCCGAAUGGGGAAACCCACUGCCCGUAAUGGGGCAGUAUCCAUACCUGAAUCCAUAGGGUAUGGAGGGCACACCCGGGGAACUGAAACAUCUAAGUACCCGGAGGAGAAGAAAGCAACCGCGAUUCCCUGAGUAGCGGCGAGCGAAACGGGAACAGCCCAAACCAAGAGGCUUGCCUCUUGGGGUUGUAGGACCACUCACAUGGGAGUUACAAAGGAACGGGGUAGACGAAGCGGUCUGGAAAGGCCCGCCAGAGAAGGUGACAGCCCUGUAGUCGAAACUUCGUUCCCUCCCGAGUGGAUCCUGAGUACGGCGGGACACGGGGAAUCCCGUCGGAAGCAGGGAGGACCAUCUCCCAAGGCUAAAUACUCCCUAGUGACCGAUAGUGAACCAGUACCGUGAGGGAAAGGUGAAAAGCACCCCGGAAGGGGAGUGAAAGAGAACCUGAAACCGUGUGCCUACAAGUAGUCAGAGCCCGUUUAUGGGUGAUGGCGUGCCUUUUGUAGAAUGAACCGGCGAGUUACGAUGACGUGCGAGGUUAAGUNNNNNNNNNNNNNNGUCGUAGACCCGAAACCAGGUGAUCUACCCAUGUCCAGGGUGAAGGUAGGGUAACACCUACUGGAGGCCCGAACCCACGUACGUUGAAAAGUGCGGGGAUGAGGUGUGGGUAGGGGUGAAAUGCCAAUCGAACCUGGAGAUAGCUGGUUCUCCCCGAAAUAGCUUUAGGGCUAGCCUCAAGGGAAGAGUCUUGGAGGUAGAGCACUGAUUGAGCUAGGGGCCCUCAUCGGGUUACCGAACUCAGUCAAACUCCGAAUGCCAACGACUUAUCCUUGGGAGUCAGACUACGAGUGAUAAGAUCCGUGGUCGAGAGGGAAACAGCCCAGACCACCAGCUAAGGUCCCAAAGUGCACGUUAAGUGGAAAAGGAUGUGGAGUUGCCCAGACAACCAGGAUGUUGGCUUAGAAGCAGCCAUCAUUUAAAGAGUGCGUAAUAGCUCACUGGUCGAGUGACUCUGCGCCGAAAAUGUACCGGGGCUAAACGUGCCACCGAAGCUGUGGGAUGACCAUUGGUCAUCGGUAGGGGAGCGUUCUAAGCGCGCCGAAGCG
rnacentral:rRNA from 1 species